GGAGGUUCCUGGUGUCCCCAGAGGGUCCCCGGGGUGGGGACUCGGGGCUGCCUGUCCCUGUCCCUGUCCCUGUCCCUGUCCCGGUGCCAGCCCUGUCCCUGUUCCCAUUCCCGUUCCCAUUCCCGUUCCCGUUCCCAGCCUGCUGCUGCCGGACCCCGCCGUGUCCCCGGAGCUGGCCCGCGACACCGAGCCCGAGGAUUGCUGCUCAGGUACUGCUGGGGCUCUGCUGGCCCUGUCCCUGCUGUCCCUGCAGUGUCCCCGCAGUGUCCCCACGGUGUCCCUGUCGCUGUCCCACAGCCGGCAGUGACCCCGAGCCCUCGGGCCGGGCGCGGCCGCUGCAGGAGCUGCUGGAGGAGCCGCGCGGGGCCGGGGCCGCUGACACGGGGGACGCUGACCCCAGCCCGGGGGACCCCGACCCCGACCCCGGCCCCGGCCCCGGCCCGGAGGGUCCCGACCCCGGCCCGAGCGCCCCCACGUGCCCAGGGACUGCUGGGGUGGCCGAGGCAGCGCUGGAGGACGUGGAGACCCUGCGGCUCCUGAUUGUCCGGAGGCUCCGGCCGGGCCGGGACCCCGACCCCGAGGAUGGACAGACGCCCACGGCCGGACAGGGCAGUAACCCUCCAGUGUCCGGCCGGGAAUUCCCAACGUCCGGCCAGGAAUUCCCAGUGUCCAGCCAGGAUUCAGUGAUGUCCAGUCAGGAAUUCCCAAUGUCCAGCCAGGAAUUCCCAACGUCCGGCCAGGACUCGGCCAUGUCCGGCCGGGAUUCUGGGAUGUCCAGUCGGGAAUUCCCGGUGUCCAGCCAGGACUCGGUGAUGUCCAGCCAGGAUUCCGGGAUGUCCAGCUGGGAAUUCUCAGGGUCCGGCCGGGAAUUCCCAACGUCCAGCCAGGACUCGGUGAUGUCCAGUCAGGAGUUCCCGGUGUCCAGCCAGGACUCGGCC
rnacentral:lncRNA from 1 species